rnacentral:rRNA from 1 species
CACCGCGGUUAUACGAGAGGCCCAAGUUGUUAACCCUCGGCGUAAAGAGUGGUUAGAGUACCCCCAUAAACUAAGGCCGAACACCUUCAGGGCAGUUAUACGCUUUCGAAGGCAUGAAGCACACCCACGAAAGUAGCCUUACUCCACUUGAACCCACGAAAGCUAAGACA